rnacentral:lncRNA from 1 species
GUCAGUGCAUCUCCCACCUGAUCGACGCCGACGCCACGGUCCUCGAGCAGAACAGGGUGAGCUUGAUACCCUUCCAUUCUUCAUGUGAAUUAUUCAGGCUGUAGACGUUGAGCUGUUCAAGGUGUGGAUUGUUGUGUGGUUCCAGUACAAUUAUAACUGUACAGAUAUUUUUGUGCGCAUAAAAUCUGCAUUGUACAAUGUCCCUGAUAUUAUGCAUUUUAUUGAUACUCUACUAGAGUUGCUAUCUCUUGUUGUUCAUGGGUUUUGAUUCUGCUUCUACAGAUUUUGAAUUUUUCAUGUAAUAACAAGUAUACCGCUUAGUACUCCACAAAUAAACUAUUAGUGUGGGAGAUCUCUCAGUGAAGCUGUAUCAUAUUCUUUGUUAAUAUUUUGCAUGCCAUUCGAAGUUCACUUGGCAAGCAAGUAUUGUUUAGUACUGUAUUUGUUGGCACUUUGAGAUGAACCUGCAGCAUAAGCAUCAAGUUAGAUGAAAAAUCCUCCGGUGCCGAUUUUGAUUUAAACAUUGAGUUAAUAUAGUCCACAACAUAACAUAUUUUGAUUUGAACUUAUCCUAUGCUUAUGCCCAGUUUGUGUUAAUUAUCUUGAAGUUAGUCUGUCUCUUCUUUACUGACAUUCUUGUUUGUUAAGGAAUGGUGUGGUACAGUGUCUAUGCUGGCUGAAUUUUCUUUACAUAAUUUUCAGCUGGUCGCUUGUACAGAAACUUUGAUCCAGAAAAACCAAAACCAAGUACGUGUUCACACACACACAGCUUCCUCUCACAAAAAAAAACUAAGUGCCUGUCUCUCUCACUUUUGUUCACAUUUCUUUUAGAGUGCAGAAAUGUUUGAUCCAGAUAAACUAAAUACCUGUACAGGCGCACAACUUCCUCUCACAACAAAAAAAACCAAGUACUUGUCUGUAUCAUGUUUGUUUGCUUUCUUCUUUGAGAAAUCUCAUGUUUGUUUGCUAGGCCAUAAAAUAGAGAGCUUUUAGCCUGGUUAGCCCCAUGCACCUACUGUUUGUUUGGUCCAGAACCAAUGGCUGAACCAACUGCCGCUGCUACUACACUUUUAGUUCUGUGAUGUGUGUUUGUUACUCAUCACUUGUAGGCUAACUUGAUUAUACUUUCAUUCGACACACUUUUCUUUGGACUAUUUUUGCUUGUUUUCACGUGUGUUGCCCACAUUUACGUGGUACCUUAGUAUAGUAGUGGUGUGUCCACAGAUGAUUGCUUGGAAAAUCAACUAAUAUUAUUACUCUUUGGAUUCAUUUGGGAGCUUACUUUUAUAACUUAUUAUAAUUUUGAUUGUCUUCUGAUUCUACACAGGUUUGGCAGUUAAUCCGCUUUACUGGAGAUUGAAGAUUUUUAGCAGGAUUUCUUAGGUCCGGUUAGCUGCCUACAAUCGUUGGUGUUGGAAAAAAAAUCAGCUAGUAGUGCAUUUUCUUUCAAGUCAUGUAACUCACUCUUAAAAAAAUACUUAUAGGGCUUUCUAGAUAUGCUCGGGAUGUUUUGAUAUUAAGCUUUGCUUUUUCAAAUCAGAUUAGAUUGUUGGAAAUCGGUAUUGUCAUGUAAACAAUUGCUAUUUUUUAAGGAAUAUAUGAUUUGGUUGUCGUGUUGUAAA